rnacentral:rRNA from 1 species
AGAGUUUGUUCCUGGCUCAGGAUGAACGCUGGCGGCGUGCCUAACACAUGCAAGUCGAACGAAGCGCCCGCGCGGAUUCCCUCGGGAUGAAGCGCGGAUGACUGAGUGGCGGACGGGUGAGUCACGCGUGGGCAACCUGCCCCGUGCCGGGGGACAACAGCCGGAAACGGCUGCUAAUACCGCAUGAUCCGGAAGGGCCGCAUGGCCCUGCCGGGAAAGCUCCGGCGGCACGGGAUGGGCCCGCGUCUGAUUAGUUUGUUGGCGGGGUAACGGCCCACCAAGACUGCGAUCAGCAGCCGGCCUGAGAGGGCGGCCGGCCACAUUGGGACUGAGACACGGCCCAGACUCCUGCGGGAGGCAGCAGUGGGGAAUAUUGCACAAUGGGGGAAACCCUGAUGCAGCGACGCCGCGUGGGCGACGAAGCGCUCCGGCGCGUAAAGCCCUGUCAGCAGGGAAGAACAAAGACAGUACCUGACCAAGAAGCCCCGGCUAACUACGUGCCAGCAGCCGCGGUAAUACGUAGGGGGCAAGCGUUAUCCGGAUUCACUGGGCGUAAAGGGAGCGCAGGCGGCACGGCAAGUCUGGUGUGAAAGCCCGGGGCCCAACCCCGGGACUGCAUUGGAAACUGCCGGGCUGGAGUGCCGGAGGGGUAAGCGGAACUCCUGGUGUAGCGGUGAAAUGCGCAGAUAUCAGGAAGAACACCGGUGGCGUAGGCGGCUUACUGGACGGCAACUGACGCUGAGGCUCGAAAGCGUGGGGAGCAAACAGGAUUAGAUACCCUGGUAGUCCACGCCGUAAAC